GAUUUUCUUCAACCUGCCUCUUCACGACAUUGGUUGCCUUUUCUUAAUUACCUUGCAAUAUGAUUUGGUCCUUGAAGACAUCAUUGAGAACAAGUUGGUCAGCUUUAUAUAAUUUUCACUUAUCAACCAUCUAGACAAUCAUGCUAACAUUAAGUCUUGAUUUUAUGGUAUGAAGUCCCUUCUGAUUUUACCUAAGGGCAACCAC
rnacentral:lncRNA from 1 species